UUUGGCCGAAUGUUGAGAAAGAAAAUAAGCUUUUGAGCUUUUAGGUAUUCCGCACUUUGGAGCUCAAAAUUAGAUCAAGAACAAAAGAAAACGAAAUUAGAACGGGGGAAGUCGAAAGUGGUCGAGUAGUCGAUUCCAUCCACUUGUCUUCUUCCGAGAUUUUUGGAAGCUAGUUACGAGCUCGGGGAUCUUCAAGGAAGUCCAUCACACUAUCGACCUCUAUCUCGGUAUUUUGAAAGCUCGAAAUUUUGAACAUAUGGCAUGUAUAGGCUAGUAUUUGUUUUGGUUGGUCUUGAAAAUUGUAGAUAUUUAGCUAUGCGAAAAUGGCUUGGUUUAAUGCUAAUAUGGUAAUGUUUAAGAAAUUCU